CUCUGUUGGUGUUCUGGGACCAUUUUGCCGGACACACUGAAACCACACUUCAGCAAAGCAAUGGCACAGUGCUUCCUGGAUUCAGUCUACCUUCUGGGAUUCAAGGAGGAGAAUGAAGGACUGUCUCAAAUUAUUUUGGGUACAUUUUGGAGCAAGUAUAAAGGACCUAACAAUCUUCCUUAAUUGUAAAAGUCUUCAGAACUACUAACGCCUCUUGUGGAACUUGUGUACACCCAGCAACAAAGCAAUCUUCAACUCAAAAGAGAAACAAAAUUUUAAAGGAUGGGUGUGGAACUUUUGAAACUCAAAAGGAGGAAACAUCUCUUCUUCAUCCAGCCUAAGAAUCUGUACAGAAACGAACCUUUUGCCAUUUCCUUGUUUGGAAAAAGACAAAAUAAUAAAAGAAGAAAAAACAAAAAAUGUAAUUGAUAUUUUCUGCCACCAGAACUCUAUAAGGCUACUGAAUCCAACUGGAUCCCAUGAAACCAAGAAAAUGUAAUUAAAGGUCAUUACAAUGAACUGGGA
rnacentral:lncRNA from 1 species